AACAGAGGCGAUAGCACCUUGAAUGGUCCAUUUCUCAAAGGAUCUCUGAAGUUAAGUAUUGUUAAGCGUGGCUAGUAUCAGGAUGGGUGAUCAUCUGGGCCAUCGCGUACUUCUGGCU
rfam:Asian citrus Psyllid, Diaphorina citri - Florida Strain, whole genome shotgun sequence.